UCUAUCUGAUUUCGAGGACAAGCUCUAAACUUUUGCUUCUGUUACAUGGUCUAGUUUGCUUUUGCUGCUAAGAGAGCUGCACUAUUAUCUGUCUAUUGAGUCGUCGUCGCUGUAUUGCUAUUGGAAUGUACUCCUAUCUGUCGUGAUACUGGCACUUUGUUUUGAUGUCUGUCGAUGUUAAAACUUAGAUUAUAUAUCUGUCGCGAUACUUUUGAUGUCUAUCAAUGUUAAAACUUAGACUAUAUAUCUGUUAUGGUAGUUCUUGUUGAUGUCUUGUUUGCUUUUGUGUUAGAUCUUGAGAUCUCUGCCUGGUUCUUUAUUUUGCUCUAGUCUUGCUCUAUAUUUUUAAUGAUCUUGAGAGCUCCUCUACUUGCAGUAUUUCUUCCUGCUCUUAUCAUCAUUUUACCUUCCAUGUUUUAUGCCCAUCAAAAUGUGUUCCAUCUUCUGUCAGUUGUAUUUCAAUCUAUGCUGUACUUGUUUUUCUCCAUUUUCACGAGACACGCACUGAUGAUGAGAAAUUGCUCCCUAGUGCUAGAUACAUCUGUUGAGCAAACAACAUUUCAGACGGAGGAUGUAGUACAUUAGAGGAACUUGCCGAGAGAAUAUACUGUAGUAGAAGCAUCUGUUAAUGCCGAGAGUAUCCGAACUUGUAUCUCUUCGGAAUACUACAGAUUGAACCUUUGUAGGCAUGAAAGAAUAUUCACAUAAUUUUCAUGCUCAGUAACUCUCUUACUCCACGGUCAUAGCAAUAUUGAGUUCUGAAGUUGUUCAUGGUAAAUUCUGGCAUAUAAUUGAUUUGUCUGCUAUUUCUUUACUGUUACUGGAUGCAAUGUACUGAGUAGUUGUACACGGGCUCUAUGUAAUUAUGACACUUGCAAAUAAGCUUCAACCUUUUAAUUUUUGCUGAAACAUAGGCAUGCCAUUUAAUGACUUGUUUUCAUGACCAACUUUGCCACAAUUAAGCUUAGGCAAAGAGUGGCUAACAAAAUGUUUACUACAAGUGUGGCAAGAUUUGGCAAAAAAUUUGAGCCUAUGACAUGUGGAUCAUAUAGCUAGAAAAGUGUGGCAGCUAAGUGUGGCAAUAAACUAAAUACAUGCCUAAGAUGUUGUGGCACGACUAAGGUUAGACGCGGAAACCUUACGCUGCAAAUCAAACAUACCUUAACUAAAAUAAAGUGAUCUCAGGUUUCUUAAUUUGGACACGAUGUUCAUAAAUACAAAUAAUACUCUCUCCGUAUCUAAUACUAAAACGUGACUUGAUACAUCCGUAUUUAGACAAAUCUAAGACAAGAAUUUUGGGACGGGGGAGUAGAUGAUUGGCUUUGGUCAGUGUGUUCUGGCCGCUUUAUGGAUGCUUACUUUUAUCUUUUAUGAAAUUUCAAUACUUUUCAAAAGACAAGACAGACUUUUAAUUGCCAACAAAAAUAGUACGGGAAAAUAGGGCUGAGGCUCGUCCAUCAAAUUCUCCGCUAAAAGGGAAAAUAUAAAGUGGCGGAGCUAACAAUAAUUUUGAUUGAUUGCAUUCAUCUUUGGAUGAAAGCUUAGUUUGAGCAUGAUUCUCCAAAAAUAUUACCUAAAUGAUAAGCUUAAAAUCCGUAGCCUCCUAUUCACCAUCUCUAGUCAAUCAUGUCGAUCAUUUCAAUGGAUAUUAGAGUUAUGGAUCUUUAUUACGGCUUACCGCCUAAAGAGAAUAAGGUCGAUGCCGGGAAAUCCACCGGUGGUGCCCCUAUGGUACAUGGUGAGCUUCCCGUCACCACACAACUGUUGCCUUGACCAUGGUGGACUUUACGUUAAUGUUGGAUUUUUAAGUCCGCCAUGAUAAAAGAAGUUCAUUCCAUUUUCAAGGAAGAGGUGGGCUCGAAAGUCAAAGCCUCUACAUCCGCACAAUCCUCAUUUGCUCCAAGUGAGGUUCGUGAUGUGGACGAUGUAAGAGAACAUCUUGCUCUCCCCGAACCUACAAUUGCACCCCUCGCAAUUCCAUAGAGUGCCACUACACACUAUGACCUAUCCAACAUCCGGAUAUUAAUCAUGUUGGGCCUCCGCCCCCUUUGAAAGCUAACACAUUUUCUAAGCGGAAACUCACUCUGGAGUCUCACAUUUACAGUGCCUCUACACAACUCUCAUGGGUGAUUGCGAAUGGUUUCAAGCCCAAGGACCCAUCAAGCCUUACACCAAGGGAAGCCGUUGAUGAUCGAUUCAUUACCACCGCCUUCAACAUGCUCCGGCUUGCCACCACCGAUGAGUAUGCCAAUUCCAUUGCUAUCUUCAAGCCCCCCAAAGAAAUUUGAGAUUGCAUUGAGGAUAUAUUUGAAGGACAUGACAAUGUUCAGAGAUCUAGGUUGGUCAUUGUUCGUCAAUUUGUCCAUAAGGAAUGUGAGAGAGACCACUGAAGAGGUGUUCUGGAGAUUGAAGUCACUUGUGUUGGAUUCGAGAAACUUUUGGAGCCAUGGUCUUUACGAAUCAUACUAUGAUCAUGAUGAUCCACCAACAUCCCGACUAUGACCGAAUGACUCCCAAUCGAGUUGUGUCUUCUUUUGGAGAUCAAGUCCAAGAACACAAUGGCGAUUGAUCAAGAAAUAAAGAACUCCAAUCUAGCGCUAAAGGCCAAGAAGGUGGUCGGAUGUGCUACGAGAGAAGAAGUUGAUACCUCGUGUCAGGUUGACUUUGAGGAAGACUUGACCCUCUAGGUCAAGAAAUAUUCGGGCACAAAAGCAAAGAAAAGGGGAAGCAUCUUAAGGGAACAUCCUUUGGGAGAAGAACGUGCCACAAUCUUAUUAAUGUUACAUGGAGAAGAUUUCGUUUUGCGAUUGACUUCUCUCUCGCGCCAUCCGCCUCGCGAGCCGUCCGAUCAAGGUUGAUCGUGCUGCACUCAUCGUAUGUCACCCGUCCACCUGGGGCCCAUGCACCACCGUCCGCAUUAUAUCCAGCGCAACAACGAGAGCCACUCGCUCCCCCCCACAUGAGUGAGAUCCCCAUUUUUCCUCUUCAUAUUUGAAUCCCUCUUUGCACGGCCCCGUCGGAGCAGUCGCAAGCGGCAUGUAGCACCUGACGGGGAACCUGCUGCACCCUAGCAGCCGGCGACCCACAGCACCCGCGUCGGCGUUGCCCAGCAUCGUCGACCGUUCCCGUGCCCUAUGUUGCCGAGCAUCGUUGGCCGUUGCUGCGGUCGGUGUUGCCGAGCACGUCUGCGCUCAGCUCUCAUCUUCUUUUUUUUUUGAGGCACGCUCAGCUCUCAUCUGAAAUUCUCACCACGCCUGGACAUCAUCCCUUUCGGCCCGACUCCACAGUGGACAACAGACAGGCCAGCUUCACUUGCGGGCCGCAUUUCGCGUGGCCGGCCUUCCCCCUCCGCUCCGCGCGCAUCUUGGCCCGCACGGAACCAACAAAAUAGCAUAUAUAACGGCCAGCAAAUGCGACCUAGAGAGUCCUCACUUCCUUGAACCCUUUCCAUUCUCACGGAUCGGGAGCGCCGCCGCUUCCCCACCUCUCGUCUCUCGGCGAACCCCCAAGGUGAGCCGAACCUCCCCUCCCGCCUCCUCCCCCGCGCCCUCCGGCUGCUUCUCCGGCUGCUCCGUCGGCGGGCGCGUCCCUGCUAGCUAGCUACUGGCUGCUACCUGGCCGACCGAUUUCACGGGCUCUAGUCCAGCCUCCUCGCUAGCUCGAUGCGGUCCAGUCCCCUUUGCUGGGUUCGUGGCCGCUGGGAUUAUUCCUAUGUGGUUUCGAUGCUCUUAGACGCGGUAGAUCUGCUGCUUCGUUCGUCCCGCUCGCUUGUUCCUGGCGACGACUUUGUGCUGACGUCACUAGAUAGAUAAGCUCGUCGCUUCCGAUGCGCUUCUGCGGUGGCUAAGGGUGUUUGCCCCGUCGUGUUUAGCGAGGAUCUGCCCGCUCCGCCGUGGUGGACGGCGAUCUGUUUUAUGUGGUGUUCCGUUAGCUUUUUUCGCCAUUUUUUGCUGCGCUGCUGUUCAUCCACGGGCUCUUAGCAUGCUCAAGCUGCAGGGUUUUGCUCACUCGGUUGCCUGCCUGCCGUACCCUGGUUGGUUUCGUUCUCUGUUCUCAUGUUCAGGGCGGAGGAAAUGGUGAUGCAUACCUUUGCUUGGCAUGUUUAAUUUAAUUUGAUUGUGUAUAUAGAACGGGAGACUCUUAUAGAAUGGUGUGUCAGUUCUUAUCUACUUAUAGUUGAGGUAUUAUGGGUGAAUUUAUCCCUCAUCUGUUUUAUUUGGUUAAAUUGAUCCUAUGUGACUAUCUUCUGGUGUUCUUCUCAGUGCUCCCCAUGCAUGGUUGGUUGCACCUAUUUCAGAGCUCAACAUUAUGACCUUCUGUGCAUCGCAUUGUUUCUAGUGUUUACAGUGGUAGUUACUACUACAUGAUAAUACAGUCAGCACGUGUGCAUAAAACUAAAACUACCUUCUGUCACAAAUCAACUUUGCAUAAAACUACGAUUCUGUUUCGAAUCUGAUUUGUUUUCUCCAUCCACAUAUGAUUGAUUCAUGAGAGAUGUUUCUAUGAUCCACAAAGUUAUACAGAUCUGUAGGUACUUGAAGGUUUAGCUAGUGAAAUCCAUUACCUGUUUGUGCUUCAUACUUGCGCACACUUCAGAUAAUGGACUGCUUUUCUUUCUUAUCUUUCUUACUGUUUUGUGCUUUCUUUCGCAUACUGUCAUGUCGAGUGCUCUAAAAAUUGGUUGCCAUUGUUGCUUUCUGGCUUCCUUUUGAACGCACUUUGGGCAAUUAAGUUUUCAGAACAUGGUCUUCAGUUCCCAUAAGUUAGUUUUAGUAUGCUUGGUUGACUGUAACACAUAUUUCAUUUUAGUGGGUGUGGUUGUGGAAGUGUUGGUUAAAGUAUUUUUGGUACUGUACUUGAAGCUAAUGUGUGCCCAACAGUAGUAAGAGCCUUCUGUUUAUUCAGUUGUGGUUUUAAUUACUUAAUUUUUGUUCCAUUCUGAACAGGAACUAUAUUCCCAGCGUGAUAUCCAAAACCAGUCAAGAUGGUGAAGUUUACUGCGGAGGAGCUCCGCGGAAUUAUGGACAAGAAAAAUAAUAUUCGUAACAUGUCUGUUAUUGCUCAUGUCGACCACGGUAUGUGCCUGAACAUACAGUUGUCUCUAAUUAUUGAGUUCAUACAGUAGAAUCUUUGUUAAUCAAUGUUUUCAGCCUCUUAAUUUUACUGUAUUUAAUUCUAAAUACUGAAACUAUUUAAAUGGGUCAAUUUAACAAGUGGAGCAUAAUUAGUUUCAUCCCUAAAACCAAUCCAUCUUAUUGUGUCCUGGAGUUUACUACCACUGCUUAUUAUAUGAUUGAUUUCUGCUUCACCAAUAUGACUGAUUUCUGCUUCACCAAGCUUAAAUGUUACUGUUGACAUACCAUCCCAGGGCUUAUAUCUCCCCAGUUUGGUGUAUUCUCACAUUGUCCCUGAAUGCAUUACACUUGUAGGAUCUGAAAUUUACAUGAUUGUACUUAGUUACUUCAAUAUUGAUGUCCUUAUAUUCUGUUUGCAAUGUCCCACUAGAUUUUGCUUAACCAUGUUGCUAAAAACCUUGUUGAGCUUAUUUGUACCUUCUUUUGUUUCCUGAUUGUUUGAAAGUACUGUACUGCUGUGUCCUACUUCUGCCUUAUAUGAGUUAACAUGUUCGAUUUUCUAUUCAUAUAGGUUGUGUUCAACUGUCAAACCAGAUGCUUGUGCACUGUUCUCACAUAUUAUUUACAUAUUUGCAGGCAAGUCUACGCUUACGGAUUCCCUUGUGGCAGCUGCUGGGAUUAUCGCCCAGGAAGUUGCUGGGGAUGUUCGCAUGACCGAUACCCGUGCAGAUGAGGCAGAGCGUGGUAUUACAAUCAAAUCCACGGGUAUCUCUCUUUUCUAUCAGAUGACUCCUGAAUCACUUGAGAUGUACAAGGGCGACAGGGAUGGAGAUGAAUACCUGAUCAACCUUAUUGAUUCACCUGGCCACGUUGACUUUUCUUCGGAAGUCACAGCUGCUCUUCGUAUCACUGAUGGUGCUUUGGUGGUUGUUGACUGUAUUGAGGGUGUCUGUGUGCAGACCGAAACUGUGCUGCGCCAAGCUCUUGGUGAGAGGAUUAGGCCCGUCCUCACCGUGAACAAGAUGGACAGAUGCUUCCUUGAGCUUCAGUUUGAAGGUGAGGAAGCAUAUCAGACUUUCUCCCGUGUCAUCGAAAAUGCCAAUGUCAUCAUGGCAACAUAUGAAGAUGUGCUCCUUGGUGAUGUCCAAGUGUACCCAGAAAAGGGGACUGUUGCAUUCUCUGCUGGUUUGCAUGGGUGGGCUUUCACCCUUACAAACUUUGCUAAGAUGUAUGCCUCCAAGUUUGGUGUUGAUGAGGUGAAGAUGAUGGAGAGGCUGUGGGGUGAGAACUUCUUUGACCCAGCCACAAAGAAAUGGACCACCAAGAACACUGGGACAGCUACCUGCAAGAGAGGUUUUGUUCAGUUCUGCUAUGAGCCAAUCAAGCAAAUCAUCGCCACCUGCAUGAAUGAUCAGAAGGAUAAGUUGUGGCCUAUGUUGAAGAAGCUUGGUGUGACCAUGAAGAAUGAUGAGAAGGACUUGAUGGGAAAGGCUCUCAUGAAGCGUGUGAUGCAGACUUGGCUGCCUGCCAGUCGUGCUCUGCUUGAGAUGAUGAUAUUUCACCUCCCCUCUCCUUCAAAGGCACAGAGGUAUCGUGUGGAGAACUUAUACGAGGGCCCCCUUGAUGAUGUAUAUGCAAAUGCUAUCAGAAACUGUGACCCUGACGGUCCUCUUAUGCUGUAUGUCUCCAAGAUGAUUCCAGCAUCUGACAAGGGUAGAUUCUUUGCCUUUGGACGUGUUUUUGCCGGGAGGGUUGCAACUGGCAUGAAGGUCCGUAUCAUGGGUCCCAACUUUGUUCCUGGCCAGAAGAAGGAUCUGUAUGUGAAGAGUGUCCAGCGUACUGUUAUCUGGAUGGGAAAGAAGCAAGAGUCUGUUGAGGAUGUUCCCUGUGGUAACACUGUUGCUUUGGUUGGUUUGGAUCAGUUCAUCACCAAGAAUGCAACCCUGACAAAUGAGAAGGAAGUUGAUGCCUGCCCAAUCAGGGCAAUGAAGUUCUCUGUGUCCCCUGUUGUGCGUGUUGCUGUUCAGUGCAAGGUGGCUUCUGAUCUUCCUAAGCUUGUUGAGGGUUUGAAGCGUCUGGCCAAGUCUGAUCCUAUGGUUCUCUGUACCAUUGAAGAGUCUGGUGAGCAUAUCAUUGCUGGAGCUGGAGAGCUUCACCUUGAAAUCUGUCUGAAGGAUCUGCAGGAUGACUUCAUGGGUGGUGCUGAAAUUAUUGUUUCCCCUCCUGUUGUCUCCUUCCGUGAGACUGUUCUGGAGAAGUCCUGCCGUACCGUUAUGAGCAAGUCCCCCAACAAGCACAACCGUCUUUACAUGGAAGCUCGCCCGUUGGAGGAGGGAUUGGCUGAGGCUAUCGAUGAUGGCCGCAUUGGCCCGCGUGAUGAUCCUAAGGUGCGCUCCAAGAUCCUGUCUGAGGAGUUUGGGUGGGACAAGGAUCUCGCCAAGAAGAUUUGGUGCUUUGGACCUGAGACGACUGGCCCCAACAUGGUUGUUGACAUGUGUAAGGGAGUGCAGUAUCUGAAUGAAAUCAAGGACUCUGUUGUGGCUGGGUUCCAGUGGGCAUCAAAAGAAGGAGCAUUGUGUGAGGAGAACAUGCGUGGUAUCUGCUAUGAGGUCUGUGAUGUUGUUCUCCACACUGAUGCUAUUCACAGGGGUGGUGGUCAGGUUAUCCCAACGGCGAGGAGGGUCAUUUACGCUUCUCAGCUCACUGCCAAGCCAAGGCUGCUGGAGCCCGUGUACCUGGUUGAGAUCCAGGCCCCGGAGAACGCACUUGGUGGUAUCUAUGGUGUGCUGAAUCAGAAGAGAGGCCACGUGUUCGAGGAGAUGCAGAGGCAAGGUACCCCACUCUACAACAUCAAGGCCUACCUGCCUGUUAUCGAGUCCUUCGGGUUCUCGAGCACCCUGAGGGCCGCGACGUCCGGCCAGGCCUUCCCCCAGUGUGUGUUUGACCACUGGGACGUCAUGGCCUCCGAUCCUUUGGACCCUGGCACCCAGUCGGCGACGCUCGUGACGGAGAUCCGCAAGAGGAAGGGUCUCAAGGAGCAGAUGACCCCCCUAUCCGACUUCGAGGACAAGCUCUAAAUUUUGGGGCUUCGAGGACAAGCUCUAAAUUUUGGGGCCAUGUUUUGGUACUGGCUCUUGCUGUGAAGGGAGGCGCGGUAUUUUUCUCCCUAUGUGUCUUCCUUACUAUGUUGUUGUUUGUAUGUGGUGCUACUGAGACUAUGGUUUUGAUGAUGGUUGUGGUGAUGUAACAGAUGUUAAACUUAGAUCAUACAUUUCUGGCAUCCCAUGGUGGUUUAUUUUUACUGUGCUGUGUUUGCUUUUGUGCUAGAUCUUGCUUUCAUUUACGUAUAUUUGACUGUCGUCUCUCGCAAUUGCGUGGUGCGUGUUGUUACGUUUGUGAGUUCCAGCCAUUGUUGCGUUCUGGUUCAUUCAUAAUCUCUUGGGCUGUUUUUUUCUUUCCUUUGCUCUUAGUUUCAUGUUGUUAUGAUGAUUUCCACCAGCCCCUUGUGUUCUUGCCCGGCCGCUCUCUAUUUGCUGCUCUGUGGCUGAGCAGUAUCGUUUUGCGAUAGAAGCUUUCAGUCUAUUAUACUAUAUGUGAAACUCAAAUGCUUGAUGGUUUUGUUUGUUAUGAUCUAUUUUUGGAGUGCCAUUGCUACUACAGUACGUACAUGGCAGAGAAAUGCUGCUGAUAUUAAUGAUCUGUAUCAACGCCUUUCAGAUCUUACCACUGUAGCGAAAUUGGCUGAUAACCCGCGUUACAUUUUUUACGACGGGAAUCGGAAUGAACAUAGCUAGAGAGCGCAGUGCUUGGCAGUUGUUGCCCUGGGUGAAGAUCGUUGCGGCAACAGCAAUGGAGGCCGCAUCUUUGUGUACAAUCAGGGUGACCAGUGCCGGCUUUUGUCAGCUGGUCUUUGUGUUCAAAAAAUUCACAAAGACUCUUUGUCAAAGAGCAUAUGACAAAAGACAGCACCGACAGACAUGGAAGAUGAGGGCCGGCAAAACAGAACCGCAUCGCAUAUGCGGGAGUAUAUUCCUAUUCCGUUUCUCAAGCGACGCGUCAGCGAUGACGUGCGACCGGACGACUGACUUAACCAAGCAAGCACCAGAGGCAUAUGCCGAUUGGAGCAGUUGAAGCGCCGCCAGGGAAGACCAAAAACCUGUCCUUUGCAUAGUUUGUACUGCAUUCCAUGGUUUUACCAGAUAUGGAAAAAUAUCCAAUUAUAUCAGUCCUUAGAGCAUGUACAAUUGUUGAUAAGACUGUUUUAUCUUAUGGCUGUAACGUUAUUUAGAAAGGACAAUAAAAAAUGAUGUGCAAUUCGUUAUUCUUACUUACCCUCGUCUUCAAUAACUAGAUAUCUCUAAUAUGUCGUGAGACAAUUGUUUCUAAAAAUUCUUUUUUUGGGGGGACAGGACAAGCGUGUACAACCCCUAAAAAUUCAAAAUACACACGAAGAAACAAAAAGGAGAAAUUCAGGUAUGAAUAGGCCAUUUUGCUUUUGUCUUCGUUUUACACUAAUCAUGAUGGAUUUGUCUUUUAUGUUUUUCAAUGUGUAUUUAGAUUUUGGAUCUGAGUUUUUUUAGGGAUUUGUAUACAUAUGUGUUGCGAACGUUCAUAGUUUUUAUCAAUUUUUUCAAAAUGUUCAAAUUUGAAUUUCAUAAAAUUGGGAGCAUGUAAGGUUUGGUGCAGUGGCGGAGCUUCAUGGGGCCCAAAGGGGGCCAUUGCCCCCCUACUCUAUAAAAUCUCUUUAAGUGUACCCCUAAUUAAUUGUUGGCUUGAAUAUCCAAGGUUUAUGACCCCGCGAAAAGAAAAAAGAAAAUCCAAGGUUUAUGCAUAACUUGUCUUCGUCGCGCCCUCAACAAUCUUCAUCAAGCUCUUCUGGUCCCUGAUGCUUUCUGCACCAGAUAUAUCUUUCUUCCUGUGUUAGCGCACAUUUCUUUCUUCAUGCUCUCAAACAAUUUUUGCGAUGGGGACACCGGCUUCCAAGUCAUGUUGAUUGGUUAGCACGCACUCUCGAAACAUGUUCUGGACGAGUCGAGGCAUAAUUUUUGCUACAUCUUAAUUACUUUUCUUUAAAAAAUCCAUUUACUUCAAUUUUUUGAUAAAAUCCAUUUACUUCGUGGAUGCUAGUANNNNNNNNNNNNNNNNNNNNNNNNNNNNNNNNNNNNNNNNNNNNNNNNNNNNNNNNNNNNNNNNNNNNNNNNNNNNNNNNNNNNNNNNNNNNNNNNNNNNNNNNNNNNNNNNNNNNNNNNNNNNNNNNNNNNNNNNNNNNNNNNNNNNNNNNNNNNNNNNNNNNNNNNNNNNNNNNNNNNNNNNNNNNNNNNNNNNNNNNNNNNNNNNUUACAUGUCAGUUUUGCCUAUAUGGAGGGCAGAGACAUUAGAAGAUGACGGAAAUGAUUCUCAUGCAAGAGUUUAACUAUAUGCGUACUUCUAUGCAAAUACAAUAAAUAUGAAGAAAGAGAUAGAGAGAAGGUGAAAAGAAGUACUACUCUUAUAGCCAAACUUGUUGUAUGAGUGACUAUAAGUGAUGAUUAUAUAUGACAUGACAACAUCAGAUAACUAGUAGUUGAUUAUACUAUUAACCAUGCUAUAAUCAGGGGAUCGUAUUCCUCAUUCUCCAUACGCGGCUGUUAUGAUCCCGUGCUUUUGUGAGCUUGGUUGAACAGUAAAAUUUAAAAAAACAAUUUAGAAAUUUCUGGAUUUUUUUUAUGAAACUUUGACAAAUAUUUUGAUAGCUUGCAGAAUUUCAUCGCUAGAUGAAAUUUGUGUAAAAUGUGGCAAAAAACAAAACCGAUGUUCCAAAAAUAUUAUUUUCAAACGCAUUUUGGCAAUUCCUUGUCCUAUUUUUUUUUCUCUGACGUGAAACGGAGAUCCAACUGGCCCAUGAGACGGAAAAUCUGGCGAUCUUCUUUUACGGAUCUGGUCAAUUACCUCUGUAACCACGGCCCCCUAAACCCUUGCUCGAUCUCCCCCAAAUCCCAACCGGCCGAUCAUCAUGCCGCCGUCACGGCCGCCACGUCGCCGCUGCGGCCGACGGCGGCGCUCGGCCACCGCAGCAGGGACGGAUCCCUCCGCAGGCGGGAGCAGAGGGUGGCUCGCCGCCCGCCGCAGGCCGUUCAAGCGGCCCGGGCCCGAGCACGGCGACCAGGCGCUGCCCCUGUGCGACGAGACCCUGCUCCUCGUCUUCUCCGCCCUCUCCGACGCCGGGGACCUCGUCCGCUGCGCGUCCACCUGCAGGCGCUGGCGCCGCCUCGUCUCCUCCGACGCCGCCUUCAUCUGCCGCCGCGGCCCCCCGCGCUGCGACCGCUUCGCCCGCCGCCUCGCGGUCGGCGUCUUCCUGCACGGCGCCCGCGGCCGCGGCCGCUCCCGCGGCGACGGCUUCGUGCCCUUCACCAAGCCCGAUCUCUCGAUCGCCGACGGCGGGGUGCCGGGCUCGUCGUCGCGCGUCGUCGCGUCCCGCAACGGCCGCGUCGUGAUGGACCUCCGCCGCGCCAAGAGCGCCUGCGUGCUGCGCCUCUGCGUGUGCGACCCCAUGACCGGCAACGCCGACCUGCUCCCGCCCCUGGCCGGCAAGGACCGCCCGGGCCCGUACGCGUGCGCCCUGCUCACCGCCGACGACGGGCUCCACCUCUACGACGCAUGCGCGGCCACGUCCCCGUCCCCGUCCUCGUACCGCGUGCUCCUCCUCUACAACCACCGCAGCUACACGGCGCUCCGUCGCUACUCCUCGGACGACGGCAGCUGGGGCCCGGAGGUGGAGGUGACCGGCGCCCGGAUCGCGAGGGGGCGGCAGCUGGGCGUCAGGGCGCACGCCACGCUGGUGCGGGGCGGCGCGGUCUGCUGGUACGGGCUCGGCAUCGCCGUCAACCCCGCCACGCUGCACACGUCCAGCUUUGGCUACACCGUGCAGGCCUUCGAGUCGCCGCCGCGCCGCGCCAAGGCCUCCCUCGGCGAGGUGGACCGGCUGCUGGGGCUGAUGCCGGACGGGCGGCUGUGCGUGCUGGAGUGCAAGGCCGACGCGGUGCGCGCCUACGUGGUCGUCUACGCCGACGCGGUGAGGAACGGCGGCGUGUCGGGGAGGAAGGAGUGGCGGUGGACGCUGAACGCGGAGCUGAUGGGCCUGCAGGCGGUGAGGCUGCGGUGGUUCUGCGAGCAGAGCGGCGUGGCGCUCUUCACGGCGAGGAACCGGGGCGGCAAGACGCAGGUGUACGCGGUGGACGUGGAGACGAUGCAGGUGGGCAGGGUGGACUGGUCGGGGGACGACGGCGACGGCGGCGACGGGGACAUGGACGUGUGUGGGUACGAGAUGGACCGGGUGGCCAUGCUCGCCGAGCUCGACCACUCCGCUGAGCUCCAUCCAGCUCCUCGGCAGCUCUGAUUCAACAUUCUUUUCCUUAUUUUUCCCUUCUUUUUCUACAAAAUUUCAUUGAUUUCUGCAAUGACUGCAAAUUGUAGUUUUUGUAUAGGAGUAUUUAUAAUGCUUUUCGAAAAAUCAGUACUAAUACUGCAACCCAAACUGGUUCCAUUAUCGCCACUGUCAUUGUUCUCGCGAAAAUUGGAUCUGGGUCACCAAAUGAACCAAGCAUCUCAUACAGGUACAUGGAUUGUUUGCAUAUAAACACCAAUGAACUUCUGACUAAAAUUUUCAACUUUUAAGGGAACAGAAACCACUUCUGACUAAAAUUUUCAACUUUUAAGGGAACAGUUAAAUUUAUAGCAGUAACAUAAAAAUACAAAACAUGAUUUCUUUGGCAGCAAACAUCGGUGAAUAUUCUACUCCCUCUAUAAAGAAACAGUUUGUCUAAUUCACAUCUAGAUGUUUUUUAAGGAUGUCACAUCUAACCUCCCACAAGUAAGGCAACAACAAAGAACAAAAAAACUGGGACAAAAAAAAAAUAGACUACAAGCGUAGUGGAGAUCAGGUUAGAUGUGACAACAUCUAGAUGUGUCCUAAACAGACCCACAAAAAAAUAUAUUUCUUUUCGGAGGGAGUACAUACUUGGAAACUUCUUGAAAAAAAUAACACUCCUAAUACUCUGUCAAUAGCAAAAUCAAUGCUCCAGAAAGAAUAUUUUUGAAAGCAUUUGAUUUUGUAAAACAAAUCCUAGACCUCCACGAAUGUGAUUUCAUCACGAAAUUUGCAUGCACAUAGAAAACUAAGCAAUGUUCGUUGUAAAAAAAAUUCAGACUUUUAUUGUUCAUGAGCUCUUGAGCUCGAGAUUAUAAGGGACCCUUUCACCCGUUUGCAUUGUUUACACACCGAACACAAUCAUCAUUCAUCAGCCAAGCAACAACUAAACUGCAGCAACAUCAUCG
rnacentral:lncRNA from 1 species